AAUAUUAUAUGUAUAUGUAAAUUGCAUAGCAUAAAGUCUCAGUUUAAGAAAAAAAAAAGGAAUAAGGAAGUCAUCAUUCUUUCAUCCAGAAGUCCUCUGAGCAUUUUAGGACCCGGUACUAAUAUUCCUAUAAUUUACUUAGCUCCAGAGUCCAGAGGUUCCUUUGCUAAUCUGUAGUAAAUUGGUCAUAAUAAGUCAUUCGCACUGAAUACAUUCAUUAUGUGAAAUGUUGUGGCUGUGCGGGGGUUGGGUUAGGCAUCUAGGGUCACAUCACAUGCCUUAGAAAUUGGCUGUGGUUGCAAGUCUGGAUUUCAACCUUCCGAGCAAGGCAUGAAAGUGAACCACUUCUCCGCCCUUUUAGACUCUUCUUAAAUUCCAGUUUCAUGCCUACGUAUCCCAUAUGAUUAACAUGAUGCAACUGAAAAUCAGCGACUGCAGUUUGGAUGAUAUAGUUAGGUCAAUCGAAUUGCAGUGUUCUGUCCGUAAAACCCAACUCCCGUGCGCAUCCUCCUCUUUUCUCACCAAAUUUUGGUAGGUGGCGUGCUGAGAGCUACCCUCGCCAUCCAUCUAAGAUAAUUUGGGAUUUUGCUAACCGAAAAAAAUGAUCACCAAUUUUCAGUCUAUGUCACAAAGCAAACAAAUGGCAGAAUACAGUGUUCACCUUCUCCCAGGUUGCUCAGCACAAAUCAAAGAUUGCUGGCUUGUCAUCGAUGGCAGAGCACUGAACGAUACAAGGUGCCUGGAAGAACAUCCAGGAGGAGAAGAGGUGUUGAUAGAGUCAGCAGGUAAGGACACCACACAGGCAUUCAGCGAUUUCGGACAUAGCAAAUUGGUUCAGAUGUGACUCCUCAAAUACUUGGUUGGCAUUCUCUAGGGUUACUCUUUCAAAGAGGAUGCAGAUGCCCAGGUUGCUUCGAUUAAAGAACCCAAGAAGAAAGAGAUGAGUGCUUUAGUGAUCAAGGAUGACAGUAUGCCCAAGUAUGCAAGCAUUGUCGAAAUGUUCCUACCACUCUUGGUUGCUGGUUCCUACUUCUCUUAUAGAUACCUCACUACAGCCUCAUCAAUGGUGUAACUGAUUUGGUAUGACCAGAAGUUUCUAGAUGAACCACCAAGCCAAUUUCAAAAUGCCUUCUAUUUUUUCCUUUAUAAACUAAUCCUGGUUUAUAAUAUUUGAUAGAGUUGGAAUUUUGCUCAGAGAUCAGUCCCUACUUAUCUCUGAUGCGACCAUUUCAUGAAGAUAGAUAAUCUUCCAUCUCUUUUUUUUCCUGAUAAGGGUAAAUAAUCUAUAAUCUACUAUUAUUACUAGGUCAUUAGUGUCAUUAGACAUUCAUAUUACCCAGCAGGAAAUUACUAACAACUGAAACGUUUGAAGAACAAAAAAAAAAAAAAAAAGGCUGUAUUAGAUGGAUUGGAUGACCAACAAGUUGAGUUUAAAGAUGGAACUGGGAUGAGACCAGCAAAGGAACUUCAACACUUUCUGCCAUUUAGGUUUGAGAUCCAAGUUAGAUGAAACUCUCACUUCCCUUCUGCAGCUCUUAAUUGGUUACAACUUAAACGAAACUGGUAGGGAAUGGAGGGUUAAAAUGCUACACGUUCAUAUUAAUACAAAGUACUAUUAAAGAAGAAAAAGAAUACAUAUAUUACAUCAUCUGACUGCCUCAGUUCAAAUCAAUCAUCCCUCUGCUCCCUGUUAACAACAGGACUUCCCCCUAACCCGAAUAAUCAAAAUCGGAGGGGAGAGAGAGACAAGAGGUUGUCAAGGAAAAGUGAAGGGGAAAAGGUACUUACUUUUUGUUGUACUAUCUUCCCUCAAAACUUCACCGUGUAUAACAUCAGGGUGCCAGCAUAACUUGCACAAGCUGGACUCCUUAACCACCUUCCC